ACAUCCUAUUCCUACAAUGAACUUACUGCAGCCAACAUACAUUUCAUUGCUUCAUAUGGCUAGGAGAUCGAGUUAUGGUAUAGUCAAACUAUAGCAAUCUCAUUGUGAACAGUCAAGGCACCGUAGUUCAAAGAACUACUCAUACUACUACAGUAUCGAGAAUGUCACUAAUAAUUGAGUAGACAUCCAAGUGACUUCUCGUGUGGGUCACGCUCAGUACCGUUAUUCUCUAACAAUCACCUACACUCUCACUC
rnacentral:lncRNA from 1 species